AUGCAGUUCGAGCGGAGAGAGGUAGCUUGCGACUGAUCUUAGCGGCGGACGGGUGGGUAAUACUUAGGAAUCUGGCUAUUAGUGGGGGACAACAUUUCGAAAGGGAUGCUAAUACCGCAUACGUCCUACGGGAGAAAGCAGGGGAUCAGUAAUGACCUUGCGCUAAUAUAUGAGCCUAAGUCGGAUUAGCUAGUUGGUGGGGUAAAGGCCUACCAAGGCGACGAUCUGUAGCGGGUCUGAGAAGAUGAUCCGCCACAGUGAGACUGACACACGGCCCACACUCCUACGAGACGCAGCAGUGGGGAAUAUUGCACAAUGGGGGGAACCCUGAUCCACCCAUGCCGCGUGUGUGAAGAACGCCUUAUGGUUGUAAAGCACUUUACGCGAAGAAGAGGGUACUGAUAUUAAUACUACCAUCUACUGCACGUUACUCACAAAAUACACACCCUCUAACUCUGUGCCAACACCCGCGAUAAUACAGAGGGUGCGAGCGUUACUCAUAUUUACUGCGCAUAAAGCGUGCAUACGCCGCUAAUUGACUCAUAUGUAAUCUCCCCGAUCUUAUCUUGAGAAUUACAUUCUAUACUGGUUAUCUAGAGUGUGAGAAAAUAUUAUAAAAUUCCAUGUAUAGCUGUGAUAUGCAUAAAUAUCUAGAAGAAUACCUAUCGCGAACGCACCCAUCUGGCCUAACACUCACGCUUAUAUACAAAAGCGUGGGGAGCACACAAGAUUAUAUACCCUGAUACUCCAUGCCAUACACUAUCUCUACUAACCGUUGGUCUCUUUGAGAUAUUAAUCGCUCAUCUAACGCUAUAAGUACACCGCCUGGGAAGUACUCUCGCAAGACUAACACUGGGGUGUUUUCACCGACUCACUCACACGCGGUGGAGCAUGUUAUUGAGUCGAUACAAC
rnacentral:rRNA from 1 species